AGAUUGAACGCUGGCGGCAGGCCUAACACAUGCAAGUCGAGCGGCAGCACGGGUACUUGUACCUGGUGGCGAGCGGCGGACGGGUGAGUAAUGCCUAGGAAUCUGCCUGGUAGUGGGGGAUAACGCUCGGAAACGGACGCUAAUACCGCAUACGUCCUACGGGAGAAAGCAGGGGACCUUCGGGCCUUGCGCUAUCAGAUGAGCCUAGGUCGGAUUAGCUAGUUGGUGGGUAAUGGCUCACCAAGGCGACGAUCCGUAACUGGUCUGAGAGGAUGAUCAGUCACGCUGGAACUGAGACACGGUCCAGACUCCUACGGGAGCAGCGAGG
rnacentral:rRNA from 1 species